rnacentral:rRNA from 1 species
UACGGAGGGUGCAAGCGUUGUUCGGAAUUACUGGGCGUAAAGCGCACGUAGGCGGGUCUAUAUGUCGAUUGUGAAAUCCCCGGGCUUAACCUGGGAAUUGCAGUCGAAACGGUAGAUCUUGAAUGCUUGAGAGGAUGGCGGAAUUCCUGGUGUAGUAGUGAAAUACGUAGAUAUCAGGAAGAACACCCGAGGCGAAGGCGGCUAUCUGGUGAUGCAUUGACGCUGAGGUGCGAAAGCGUGGGGAGCAAACAGG